GUGUGAAUUGCAGAAUUCCGCGAAUCAUCGAGUCUUUGAACGCAAGUUGCGCCCGAGGCUUGCCCUCGGGCAUUUCUGCCAGAGCGUCACC
rnacentral:rRNA from 1 species